GUGAGAUGUUAGGGUUUUGUUAGGGUAUGUUAGAUAUGUUGCUGAUCGAAACAUAUCCAUUUUUAUGCUUUUAUGUUGUUGAAAAAUUAUUCUUGUUUAUUUUCAAUUUUGACAGUUUGUUUCUUGAUUAGUUUUUUGUUGAUUGACGCACGAAGUGCAAAACUAAAAGAAAGUUGACUCAAUUUGGAAAUUGGGAAAAGUGAACUCUGAUCAAGUUUGCGGAUCCCGUCAAGUAGUCCGGAUGUGCUGCUGCUGACGGUCACGAAAAUUUUAAUUUAAAGACCGCCAUUUAUAAGUUGCCCCCGGAACGCAUAGGAGAAAUAAGAACGGAAAAAUGGCAAACUCCUUUGAUGACGGAUGCUGACGAUUUGCUGGAUAAUAGGUUCCAAUAAGCUACCCGGAUAUACGGCUGUCGACGAAUUCUAUCGGAGGCCGUGCUGCUGGUGUCACCAAGUUGCCUCCGGAAAACAUAACCUGAUGCGGAAAGCGAAACGGUACCGACAAUUUAUGGAAUGAAUCCUGAAUUUCAACGAAACGAGCGGAGGGUCUGUUGCUGCUGCUGAUCUGACGUUGUUUACUGCGAUUGUGGGGAUCCCGGUAUUAGGCAUCCGGAAGGCAUGGGCUGCAGGAAAGAAAACUGUCCUUUGAGUAAGGAGAUUGCCGACAAUUUGCAAACGAAUUCAAUUUUCAAGAUACCUUCCGGAUGUUCAGCAGUCGAGGAUGUUUACCGAUUUCGUAUGGAUGCCGAUAUGAAACUGUCUGCGGAACGCAUAUAGAGCUGAAAGUAAAAAGGCACCAGUCGAACAGAACUUCAACUUUGAUGCCGUUAAUGUUUGGCACCAGUCGAAUAGAACUUCGACUUUGAUGCCGGUAAUGUUUUACAUGGCCAAGCUGACUCCGGAAUCAUCCGAAAGCAUCGGAAAUGUUAAAAUUUGAGCCUUUCAAAUAAUGAUUUUCUAUUUUUCGAUCGUGGAUCAAUUUGAUUUUGAUGCAUGAUUUUUUCCAGCCGGAUUUGAUUGCGGGUUCAUGUUGGGAAAUUUCUUGACUUCCCUGACCUUAGUAUCAUCAUGUUAGUCACAUAAUAUAUAAAAGCCAAUUUGCUAGCUUGGCUUAGUAACCCUGUGAUUAGUAACUUAAUAUAUUAACACUGAGCUGCCGAGGCCCCAAAACCCAGAAUAGAGAUGGAAUUGUCAGAGAGAUACCUAGAGGAAUUCCUAAAAGAACUACUAGAAGAAUACUCAGAGGCACAUCUGAAAGAAUUUAAGAACACCAAGAGUAACUGCCACCAGAAGUUUAUCUAUAGACAAUCCCUCCAGUAGUUCCUUAAUUCCGCUAGAAGUG